rfam:Homo sapiens chromosome 5, GRCh38 reference primary assembly.
GCCGGGCAUGGUGGCGGGUGCCUGUAGUCCCAGCUACUCAGGAGGCUGAGGCAGGAGAAUUGCUUGAACCCGGGACAUGGAGGUUGCAGUGAGCCGAGAUCUGAGAUCAUGCCACUGCACUCCAGCCUGGGUGACAGAGCGAGACACUGUCUCAA